AGCGAACGCUGGCGGCAGGCCUAACACAUGCAAGUCGAACGGACCUUUCGGGGUUAGUGGCGGACGGGUGAGUAACACGUGGGAACGUGCCUUUAGGUUCGGAAUAGCUCCUGGAAACGGGUGGUAAUGCCGAAUGUGCCCUUAGGGGGAAAGAUUUAUCGCCUUUAGAGCGGCCCGCGUCUGAUUAGCUAGUUGGUGGGGUAAUGGCUCACCAAGGCUACGAUCAGUAGCUGGUCUGAGAGGAUGACCAGCCACAUUGGGACUGAGACACGGCCCAAACUCCUACGGGAGGCAGCAGUGGGGAAUCUUGCGAAAUGGGCGAAAGCCUGACGCAGCCAUGCCGCGUGGAUGAUGAAGGUCUUAGGAUUGUAAAAUCCUUUCACCGGUGAAGAUAAUGACUGUAGCCGGAGAAGAAGCCCCGGCUAACUUCGUGCCAGCCGCCGCAGUAA
rnacentral:rRNA from 1 species